CCUACGGGGGGCAGCAGUAAGGAAUAUUGGUCAAUGGAGGAAACUCUGAACCAGCCAUCCCGCGUGAAGGAUGAAGGGGCUCUGCCUUGUAAACUUCUUUUGUCUGGGGCGAAAAAGCUCGAUUUAUCGAGAACUGACGGUACCAGAAGAAUAAGCACCGGCUAACUCCGUGCCAGCAGCCGCGGUAAUACGGAGGGUGCAAGCGUCAUCCGGAUUCACUGGUGUGUAGGCGGGUGUAGAAGGCUGUGGUGAAAGGCUUGGGCUUAACCAUGGAAUUGCCAUUGAUACUGCAGAGCUUGAAUGAGGUUGAGGUUGGCGGAAUGUGACAUGUAGCGGUGAAAUGCUUAGAUAUGUCAUGGAACACCGAUUGCGAAGGCAGCUGACUGGACCUAUAUUGACGCUGAGGCACGAAAGCGUGGGGAGCGAACAGGAUUAGAUACCCCUGUAGUC
rnacentral:rRNA from 1 species